rnacentral:rRNA from 1 species
UACGUAGGGUGCAAGCGUUGUCCGGAAUUAUUGGGCGUAAAGAGCUCGUAGGCGGUUCGUCGCGUCGGCUGUGAAAUCCCGAGGCUCAACCUCGGGUCUGCAGUCGAUACGGGCGGACUGGAGUUCGGCAGGGGAGACUGGAAUUCCUGGUGUAGCGGUGAAAUGCGCAGAUAUCAGGAGGAACACCGGUGGCGAAGGCGGCAUCCUGGACCGGCAUUGACGCUGAGGCGCGAAAGCCAGGGGAGCAAACGGG